GAAUGGAGAGGGGUCCUACUGAACAUCUAUUAUCUUUUCUGAGAGUGGUCAGAGAGUUCUUAAACAGUUAUGUUGAAAAUAUGGAAUAUGGCAGAAUUCUUUAUUGAUUUCAUGGAAGGUACUAAGAAAAGGUAAAAAGAAUUCAUAACAUUGAAAAGAAAAAAAGGUACCUUGCAAAUCUUUGAUUCAGAGGAAGG